rfam:Myotis lucifugus cont2.53403, whole genome shotgun sequence.
GAGACACCCCUGUGGAGCAGGACUUGCUUUAGUGGGGCUUUGGUGCUCACUGAGUCUGCCCCUUAAAAGUGUCACU